rnacentral:rRNA from 1 species
AUUGAACGCUGGCGGCAGGCCUAACACAUGCAAGUCGAGCGAGCGGCGGACGGGUGAGUAAUGUAUGGGGACUGCCCGAUAAAGGGGGAUAACUUCUGGAAACGGUGGCCUAUUACGCAUACUGUCGCAUAACCCAUAUGUCAUUAGCUAGUAGGUAAGGUAAUGGCUUACAUAGGCGACGAUCCCUCGCUGGUCUGAGAGGAUGAUCGGCCACACUGGGACGGAGACACGGCCCAGACUCCUACGGAGGCAGCAGUGGGGAAUAUUGCACAAUGGGCGCAAGCCUGAUACGGCCAUGCCGCGUGUAGGAAGAAGGCCCUAGGGUUGUAAAGUACUUUCAGUCGGGAGGCGUUACCGACAGAAGAAGCACCGGCUAACUCCGUGCCAGCAGCCGCGGUAAUUC